CUACGGGUCGCUGCAGUGGGGAAUUUUGCGCAAUGGGGGAAACCCUGACGCAGCGAUACCGCGUGAGUGAAGAAGGCCUUUGGGUCGUAAAGCUCUUUUCUAAGGGAAGAUAGUGACGGUACCUUAGGAAUAAGCGCCGGCUAACUCCGUGCCAGCAGCCGCGGUAAUACGGAGGGCGCGAGCGUUGUUCGGAUUUACUGGGCGUAAAGGGCGCGUAGGCGGCCUGGCAAGUUAAGGGUGAAAUCCCGGGGCUCAACCCCGGAACUGCUCUUAAAACUGCCAAGCUAGAGAUGGUCAGAGGCGGGUGGAAUUCCAGGUGUAGAGGUGAAAUUCGUAGAUAUCUGGAGGAACACCGGUGGCGAAGGCGGCCCGCUGGGGCCAUUCUGACGCUGAGGCGCGAAAGCGUGGGGAGCGAACGGGAUUAGAUACCCGUGUAGUC
rnacentral:rRNA from 1 species